GUAAAAGUUUUAUUCAAAGCCAAACAAAUCUAGUUUCCAUGGAAACCGAAGUUAACAAAUGAGCACAUGGAUGACAGGUUGGGCCGCCCACAUGGUGACCCUCAAGAUCAAGAAAAACCAGGGAGCCACUGGAGAGGAGCUAAAGAGAUGCAUGUGGCUCCGGAGCCGCAGGUUGCUGACCCCUGAUCUAGAAUGAACUGAAAAAACAAGGAUUUUGGUAUAAUUUUGAUUAUUAUAGCUCAAAAAGAACAAA